GACGAGUUUGUUGUCCUCCCUUUAAUCACAUUUACAAACAUAAUCAGACAUGGAUUUUACACUUUACCUCUUCCAUGUUUCUGAUACAUUUCUAAGGAAUUUUUUAAUCCUUUUGAUAAUGAGAGUACAUGUGGCAGAGGAAAUAAGUUACUGAUAUGAAGUUCAAUGGAAAAGGCAGAAAGCAGACAAUAACAAAACAUCAAUUAUUUGAAAUAAUAAUAAUAAUACAAAAAUGCUACAGGAAAUUCAGUCUAUGUAUUUUAACAUUUAGCACGUCACAUUGCAUCAUCAGUGGUCAGUUUGUUCCAGAAAGCUAAACAACUGACAUAUUAAAGGAAUUAAAGUGAUUAAGGCAGUUGGCGCAUGAUGAUAACAAAAUAAAAACUUAAGGUAACUUGCUGCAAAGAUAAAAAUUUUUUUUUUUUAAAGAACUGUGUUGCUGCACUGUCACAGAAGGCCAAACAGUUUAAGUACAGGGAGAAUAGUGACAGACUUGUAGGAUAUGAUUAAAAAUAAUACAUUUUUCCAACAGAUACAGGAUUAUUUUUAUACUUCUGCUGCUGCAGAAAUGAUAGAUGAAUAUGUAAAGGCUGCAACCAUGAGCACAGUAUCACAUACAUCAACAUUACUGUACACAGAAAUACACUAACAAGUCAGCAACAGAGACACUUAGGAAAAAGAAUGGUUUGCAAGCAGUAUCUUUCAGCUAAUCAAAGGUAUUUCAUUAACUGGAGAUUAGAAAAGAUAAAUCUGAUAAUUGAGGUCAAACUCACAAAUACCUACUUCCCUUUAGAGUUGAAAAGGUUAGUCUGUGCCAUGUGGUUUGUUUUUGGCUCGCUACCAUCUGCUGCUUCUCAUUUUUCUCUGACAUUUCCUGUUCUGCCCUCAGGUUGAAGAAUUAUGCUUAAAACGCUAGUAGUUGCUGCAUUUACUGCCCUACCAAAAACCUGUAUCUGUUACUUAUUUCUUACUCUCUCUCUUACCCUGGAAGCUACAUCUUAUAUUUUUACAUCUUUUAAGACUAACCUAUGAUUUGGCAGUAAGAGGAGGCCACUGUCAGCAGCAGACGUUGCAUGUCAGGGAGAUUUUAUGCUUAGUUUUUCAACAUUGAGCAAAGUACUCUACCUGCUGGUGAGGAGUGGAAUCACCAGACUGUAUUUACAGUGGCAAACAAAAUGACACAUUACCUGAGAGUGCACUUUGAGUCACUGAGUUUCCUACUCAGAAUUUGGGGUUAAACAUGUUUGUUUUAUUUAUGUUUUUCCCCAUUUUGUAUUUAGAGGGUUUUUUCCUGGAAGUUUUUUGCAUACCCUACUGUAUAUUACUCAGAUGGAAAUAGGAAAAUCCGUUGUAAAUGUUAAAUCUUUUAAAUGAGUUUUGACAUUUAUUCAUAGACAACCCUGCUCAAAUGACUUUUUUGUUAAUAACCUAAGAACAAUCAUUAUGAGUUGGUGGCACUUUGCAGUCCUGUGUCUGUAUUUUGUAUACUGUAUAUGGCCUUAUAAUGCAAGCAUCUCGAUUUGUACUUCCAGUUGAAGAGUUUAGCUCAAGGUGAUCUGACAAAGAAAGUGUGCUUUGUGCAAAUGAUUUUAUUCAUAGAUAACAGACAGAACAGAAAAAAAAGAUGUCCUUUCCAGCUGAGAACAGACAGUGGCUGCCUCUAACACCUGUGACUCUCAACUUGAAUUUGCUUUUAAAUCAAGUCUACACAUGUGUAAUCUUCAUACAAAAUAAAAAGACCUGACCAGACAGAAAACCCUUUUUCAUGCCUGCUUAUAAACAACUGCUGCUCCACACAGUCAUGUGGUACAAGAGAGCAUAAAUACACACAGUUAGAGACUGUAUGAAAAUUAUUGUGGCAGAAAGGGGGAUAGAAUCAUCCAUUUCAGUCUUUGAAAAAGCAAGGCCCUUCUCAACAUAUCAGUUCUUUUUGCUGCCCCUCACCCACCCUCUGCGUAUGGUAACAUGACCCACUUUGCACAAUCAACCAUCAUUUGCACCAAUACGAUCCUAUUUAGAUCAUAUAGGAAGGACAUGCAGAAAUAUAAAAUUGUGAGUAAAACUUUAAUGAUCAACCCCUUCUCUCCCAAAAUGUCAGACUACCCCUCUCUUCAGCAAAAAAUACACCCCCACCUUUUUUUGACCACCCCUUCCUUCCUAAUAAUUUUUGUAUAGUCCCUUGUGUGGUCAAAAAAAAAAAAA